UAAACGACUCUCGGCAACGGAUAUCUCGGCUCACGCAUCGAUGAAGAACGUAGCAAAAUGCGAUACUUGGUGUGAAUUGCAGAAUCCCGUGAACCAUCGAGUUUUUGAACGCAAGUUGCGCCCGAAGCCUUCUGGCCGAGGGCACGUCUGCCUGGGUCUCACGC
rnacentral:rRNA from 1 species